AUUGAACGCUGGCGGCAUGCUUUACACAUGCAAGUCGAACGGUAACAGGCCGCAAGGUGCUGACGAGUGGCGAACGGGUGAGUAAUGCAUCGGAACGUGCCCAGUCGUGGGGGAUAACGCAGCGAAAGCUGCGCUAAUACCGCAUACGAUCUAUGGAUGAAAGCGGGGGACCGUAAGGCCUCGCGCGAUUGGAGCGGCCGAUGUCAGAUUAGGUAGUUGGUGGGGUAAAGGCUCACCAAGCCAACGAUCUGUAGCUGGUCUGAGAGGACGACCAGCCACACUGGGACUGGGACACGGCCCAGACUCCUACGGGAGGCAGCAGUGGGGAAUUUUGGACAAUGGGCGCAAGCCUGAUCCAGCAAUGCCGCGUGCAGGAAGAAGGCCUUCGGGUUGUAAACUGCUUUUGUACGGAACGAAAGGGCUCUGGAUAAUACCUGGGGCUCAUGACGGUACCGUAAGAAUAAGCACCGGCUAACUACGUGCCAGCCGCCGCCGUAAGAC
rnacentral:rRNA from 1 species